AUCAGACAGAGACAGAACGUGCCUGAUUUUUAAUCCUUUCUACGUUUUCUACUUGGUAAGCUUUUCCACCUUCAAAAUGGCUGGUAAAGUGUCGAAAAACAUGGCGAUAGGCGCCGGGGUAAUCGGUUUCAUCUUAAUCGCUUGUGGAUUUGGAUGUGCUGUCGCAGGCUUCGUAUGGACUGCGUAUGGAAAAGGUGCUCACGGAAUAUGGUCUGGCAUUUUC